rnacentral:tRNA from 1 species
GCUGUUGUAGCUCAGUAGUGCAGAGCAUCUGCUUCAUACGUAGAGGGUCACCGGUUCGAGUCCGGUUUCAGGUA